rnacentral:misc_RNA from 1 species
ACCGAACCGAUAUUUAUCAGUUUGGUUCUGUUCGAUUUUCUCUUAUUAAUCGGUUUGUUUCGAUUUUUUAAAUUUUUGAUUUUUGGUUUUCAAUUUUAUCGGUUCGGUUCGGAACCGAACCGACCGUUUGCACACCCCUACUUCACACGCACACACAUGCAGAGGCAGGGGAUGAAGAUAAGUUGAUCAAGUGAACAGUAGGUGAUUUACCCUUUCUAGGAAUGACUCAAUUAACAAGUGCACUGGGUCUUUUUUUCCAUUAUGCCCUGGACAGAAGGUAAAUUGUGUAUGCUUUGCACUGAUGUUCACUCUUUAUGUUGCACUUUACAAAGUUUAACCAUGAUUACAAGUAAAUAUUCCUUCAUUGAAAAACCAACAAGAACAUAAAGAAAGAGCUAUAUAAAAUUUACAUAACCGUUCUUAUUCAUUGAAAGAACAUAAUGCUGAACUGCCAAAGUGCUAAAGAUAAACUUCAUUUGGAACAACAGAAUCAUUCAUGAAAGGAUCCAUAAAUACUAGCCUACGGUGUUAAAUUUAAAUAAAAUACAUAGGAAAAUAAAAGAAAAUGUUAUAUAUGGAUAUCAAGGAGGUGAAAAUAAAUCUAGAGGGGAAUGAUCAGAAAUCUUAACUCUUUAUCUGUUUCAAUAUUUGCAGUUAUUUCGGAAUGCUCCAGGUUAGUCUUCUGUUUAUGCAUACCUGACUUGACAAUCAUUAUUAGAAUGAGAGUGUAACUUAGCAUCAACUAUAUGCUGGCCAAAAAGAUUUCAAGUAAUAGGGAGUACCAAUGCUUUUUAGGGGUUUUUCACGCCUUGGUGCAGAAUUCAGGUUCUUGUCCUUAAUGAUUGGCUCGCUAACCUCGCCAUAUCCAAGAAGACGAUGGGCAUGCCAACCCUGCAUAGCACGAGCUGCAGCAUCCCUUCUUGCCCUACCAGAUCCUGGUUCUUGGUAGCCACUUACCUCCUUCUCUACAACAGAAGGCUGAUGCAGGGGUGAACCAGGAAGCUGAAGCUCACCAUUUUGGGUCUUAUGCUUUUCAUAUUCCAAAAGUGCCUUCUCGUAGAAUAUUCGGAAUGUCCAAGAAACUGUUGUGCAGGUCUUAGGAGGAUGGAAAGACUCGCCUACUUGCCGCCACAACUUGGAAGCAGUGACCACAUCAUAGCCACCCAGUCUGAUAACAGCAUUCCAUAACUUAAGGCAGUUUAUUGGCUCUCCAUAAAACUUAGGGGGCUUGAAUUCCAGGGCAUGUUCCCUGUAAAAAGUUUCCAGCUCCCUCAUGAAUGCUGCUCUCUCCUCUGGGGUGCCUGAUUCAUCAGCCUCCCCCAUCUCAACAUCAGUCCACACACUCUUGGACUUUGAAACACUCUCAUGCCUUGAUCUGGGAGUUGAAUGCUUCCCCUGAGGAGGGGGAGUAACAUUUUCUAGCUGGUUAUGAAAAUGGGUAGUAUCCCCAUCGAUUUUAUUUUCAGGCACUUUAGUACUAACAGAAUCAUUGACAUUGGCAUCAAGAGUACUUUUGUUAUCAGGUACAACUUCAUUCUCACCCAUAGGAACAUCACUCGGCAAUGUGUCAAUCUUAACUUCAGCAGAUUUUUUCCCAUUUUCAUUUAUUUUUUGAUUCUUCGGCUGGUCAGUUGAUACUUCCUCCUGAACACUGGCAUCAACAAGGUUGACAUCAGAGCCACCGGCCAAGUCUUGAUCUUGACUCGGCAUUUCAGUACCUUCCAUUCUGCAAAAAAGAGAUUGUAGAGAGCAAGGUCACAAGAGGGAGAGAAAUUUGAAGAAAGCGAAAGAGAAGAUGUCCAACGGCGUCGUGGAAGGGCUAGGUAUGGACAAUGCAGGUCACAAAGAGAGGUCAGGGAGGGAGAUGAAGAGAGCUGCGAAAUCUAUUAAUUCUUAUCCAGCAAACAUAGAAAGCAACGUUCAUUGCAGGUAGGUACAGGCGAAUGGAUUUCCAAAAUUAUAUUUAAUUAAAAAAAAAAAAAGAAGAAAGAGAAAUUGAAAACCGGCGGUGGCGGUCUGGCGGAGCUCAUUCGAAAUAAUAAGGACAAAAAGAAUAGCAGAGCAAAUCCACGGCGGACUGA